UACGGGGGGGUAAGCGUUGUUCGGAAUUACUGGGCGUAAAGGGCUCGUAGGCGGCCAACUAAGUCGGACGUGAAAUCCCUCAGCUUAACUGGGGAACUGCGUCCGAUACUGGAUGGCUUGGAUUUGGGAGAGGGAUGGCGGAAUUCCAGGUGUAGCGGUGAAAUGCGUAGAUAUCUGGAGGAACACCGGUGGCGAAGGCGGCAUCCUGGGACCAAUAUUGACGCUGAGGAGCGAAAGCCAGGGGAGCAAAACGGGG
rnacentral:rRNA from 1 species